CUGAAACAAGUGUCCCUAUAGCGUCGCAUAAUCUAGAUGGACAAGUACCCUACUCCCAUCCAUGCGAGAGUCCUACUGCAGGCUCUACUUCUUCUUCUCAUAUGUCAUGCAACUACAACACAAUCUAAGCGGGGGAUACGAAAUAGUCGAAUCAUCGAUGGCAUCGAUAAGGAUAAGAUCAACUUACACGGGUUGUGCGUUAUAGACAAACCAGUCCUUGGUGACUACUGUUGCAAAGUGACGAAUCAGUGUUACAUAGACCUUCCGUCAUGCCUUGCUGAGUGCAACAAACCUGCAGACAUGGUGGCCAUGGAAACCCCUCCUUCACCUACCCUAUUCCCGUCAAAUUGAACUUUUGAUUGGAUAAAUAAUGUAUGAUGUGCAAAAAAAAUAAAAAUAAGUAUCUCUGUUGUCGUUAUAUUUGUCAUGUUGCGGUUUCAUUUUGGGCAGCAGUAGAGAGUAGGAAUCUUCGGGAAUAAAAGUUUAACUUUU